UACAGAGGUCCCAAGCGUUGUUCGGAUUCAUUGGGCGUAAAGGGUGCGUAGGCGGCGCGGUAAGUCGGGUGUGAAAUCUCGGGGCUUAACUCCGAAACUGCAUUCGAUACUGCCGUGCUUGAGGACUGGAGAGGAGACUGGAAUUUACGGUGUAGCGGUGAAAUGCGUAGAUAUCGUAAGGAAGACCAGUGGCGAAGGCGGGUCUCUGGACAGUUCCUGACGCUGAGGCGCGAAAGCGUGGGGAGCGAUCCGG
rnacentral:rRNA from 1 species